AUGGUAACCUGUCUGUGCAUUGUGGAUUCGGAGCCCCCCGGCACCGUGGAGUGGUCUCUUCCAGCUGGACCCCUGCCCACCCUACCCAGUACCAGAGUGGAGAGGCAUGGGUCAGUUACCAUGGUGACCCUACAGAGGGCACUAGGCUUCUCCGAGACCAUCCACUGCCAUGCCAGCAACACACAGGGCAAUGCCACCUUGUCCUUCACUGUGUCCACAAAUGAUAAGAUGUUGAUGCUGUACGUUUUAAUUGGUAUUGCUGCAUUAGUGGUGGUAGUAAUACUAAUUACCAUGUCAGCUUGCCUAUUGAACAAGAAGGGUAGUAGGAGUCGUAGUGACCAGCCAGUAACCAGUAUGCAGGACGUGGAUACAGCCAAGGGUGCUUUUUCACAUCCCUCAACAUCAAGGAAAGAACAGAAAGACCCCAGCAGUGGAAUCCACACAAACUACUACACCAAUGAUCACCUAUAUGGAAACAUGGAGGCUGAAGAGGAUGGCGACCCAUACGAGUGUGUUGGUGGAGACGAUGCAGUCUAUGCUAAUGUGUGAACACAACAGGAAGCAUGUUGGAGUCAGCUGGCCCAGAGCCCAUGUUACUCAUAGGCUGCCACCUCUACAAUGUAUUCAGUCAAAAUGCAUUUUUUAUUGUACUUAACACAAACCAAAACCAUACCAAAGGCACUAACAUGCAUUUAAAUGCAUUUAAAUUACUACAAAAAUGUCAAAAUGCAUGUCCCUCCAUGCACUCCCAGUGACUUCUAGAAAGAUUUGAGCCCAGUAACCCCAAAUAUACUCACUGUAAAGCCCUAGUUAUUUUGUUGCUUUGAUGAAGUUAUUUCUGAAGAUUAUUAUGUAUUUUAUGUGAAAAGUGAUUCCUUUGUCUGUUACGUGAACUGAACUCUCGUUUUAAUACGGAGGAACUAUUCCUUUUUAAAUGAUAGUGUAAAAGCAGGUGAGCUGGUUAUACUCUUUUGGCCAUUUUCUGGUGUUUUGUGGUGAAAAACUGAGCGGGUCUAGCAUAAUACGCCAACCCUGUUACCCAUAGAUAGACAGGCUAGAAAUGUUUAAGAAUUUAAAAUGAUUUGUGAAUCUUGCAUUCAACUGACCCUCCCUGUUGCACACAACAAGCUUCCAUUCUUCUUGUCACAAGGAGAUACAUGGCUGAUUUAACUAGUUAUUACCAGUUGGAGGGGCAUUCAAGUGGAUAUUUCCUAACCAUCCACUGUAGAGCUGCACAAUACCACUCAUUUGAAGCACAGGCUACUGUGGCUAUUUGAUCAUAAUAUAGGCCCACCAAAGUGGCUUACCAUCAAAAACAGUGGAGGAAAUGCAUCCCAUAACAUUUUAACAUGGAAAUAGCUGUUCUAUCAUUCAGUCUACAGUAUCAUUCAAUGUGUGGUGUUCAAUGUAGGCCUACAUUCUAUGAGACGUAAAAAAAUAAAACAUGCAGGGCUUGACAUUAACCUGUUUAUCCACCUGUCCUUCAGAGAAGGAGGUGACUGAAAAUGUUGUUGUUUGAUGCAAGAAACAUCUUUACAAAAUAAAAUGUAUUAUUAUUCCCAUACCAUUAUUACAGAGAAUCAGACAAAUUAUUCUACCCUCUGUCUAUUAGCUUAUUUAAGCCUGUGUCAAAAUUCAACACUGCCCCUUUAAAACAAACAUAAAAGCUCUUUACCUAACUCACUUUUCUAAGAUGUCUAGAAGUGUUUGUAGGAAGCAAUCACUCCUCUAUUGCUGACUACAAAUGAUCUAUAACUGGGCUAAUAACACACUAACUAGCAAAGGAUGUGAACAAAAUGUGCAAAUGUGGCUACAUGCAACUCUCGCUUUGAUCUCAAAACAAGCUCAUCUACUCAUGACCGCUAAUGCUAGAAACACAGUCCAGUUCAAAGUAAAUGGCACCGAACCAUAUAUGGCAAUGGUCUAUUUGCGUAUAGUCCUACUGCAGCUCUAAUUGUUAUGCUGCACCAGUUUGUGUAGAAUACGGUCUGUGUAGACGAGAGUAUGGGUUGAGUAGUGCAUGUCAAUACAACAGAAUCCUACUCCGAUGCAUUCUGCCUACAACAAAAUCUGUUGCAUAGUUUGUUUUGUUUCGGUAUGUUGCAUUGAAAGUGGCUAAUAUUGCGUUGAUUUGAUCACAAUUGCCACAGUAAAGAGAAACAUUGAUAGUGUUAACAGGGAGAACUCUAGAACAAUGGUCACCAACCUUCACUGAGUCAAGAUCACUUUGAGUCAAAAUGCAAGCCGAGAUCUACCGCUCAGAUUAAUUUUUUAACAUGACUUAAAAGAUGGAAGCCUAUGCAACAUUAACCAAUUAAAAACAGUACUGUAGCAAUGAGGUUUGUGCAGUAAGUUAUAUGCCCAAUAUAUUAUCACUGCAUAUUGGCUUUCUUGAAUUGCCCUGCCAAUAAAUUGUUGUUUGGGCCAUUUUUUAAAAUUAUAUUUCUAAAUUUGAGUUAGGCUAUGUGAUCACACCGGUAAUAGAGCCGUUGUUAUAUUACUUGUGAAGCACAGCUGAGUGUCACGAAUCCCACCGAAGGUGGCUCCCCUGCCUGCUCGGGCGGCGCUCGGCUGUCGUCGUCACCGGCCUACUAGCCGCCGCUGAUCCCUUUUUCCUUUUCGUUUGGUAUGUCUUAUUGUUUGCACCUGUUCCUCAUUUGGGUCUUUUGAUUUUGGUUAUUUAAGCCUGGUUAGCCCGCCCAGGUUUGUGCGGGAUUAUUUAGCGUCAGGUUGUGUUUUGAUGUGCUGGCGAUCUACGACUGUUAUAUUUUAUGCAUGCUGUGCACCUGUUCUGGGCACUUAGCAUUUUUUCCACGCCGGUUGUGUUGGCGUCGAUCGUGUUGUGUUUUUAAACACAACAUGCCUUACCUCUGCUCUCUGCGCCUGACUCCUACCACCACUCCUAGCAACGACUGACACUGAGUGAGCAUACAUUUAAAUCUGCUUUUAUUUUUAUUUUACUGGGCUGAUCGUACCUGCAUCUGAUAGUCAGUCUCAGCCGACGGAGAGAGCAGCAGACUGAGGGUCCGCCUCCGCUAUCCCUUUCCUCCGCUGACACUGACCAAAAAGGGACACCAUCUUCCAGCUGAUGGCGAACUCGAGCUCCAUCCUAUGAAGAGAGAAGGUGAAAUAUUCCUCGAUGUUCAAAAAUACCCAAGCCACUAAUAAUAACCACAACGCAAGCCUAUAGAUACGCUUUCCUACUCAUUCAUUACUGCUGCAGUGCUUGUUGUGGCGCUGAGUAAAUAUACCCUUAUGAAAAAAUAUUGCAGUCAGAGCACUGUACAACUGCAGGACACUACAGUAUAACUGCAGUUAGAGUGCAGUAUAACUGCAGUAUGCUGCAAUUACUGUGUCCUAAAUACCACAGUUGACUGCAGGUAAUGCCCUUUUACUGCAGUUUCAAAACUGCAAUCUUUUUUUGUUAGGGUAGGAAGAAUGCGCAUUUUAUGGCUUAUAAAAGUGUUGAAUAUAAGUGUUGACAGUGCUGAGUAAGAACUUAAAAAUUAACUCAAUGAUAAAAACAGCAUCUCUUUUCUGUGUUCGUUGAAUGGCAACAGUUCGCCUACCCGGCAUGCAGGACAGCUGAUUCGGGUGCACCUACCGCCAACAACCUGAGACAAAUAAAAAUAAAUAGGAACACAAGGCUUUAUCGUUGGGUUUUUUACAGAAAUAUUGGGCGGUCAGCUAGGAGUGCCUUGGAGAUCGACAAGUUGAUCGCGAUCGACCGGUUGGUGACCACUGCUCUAGAAAGUUAAGUGAAGUUCAAUCUCAUGCUUCUCUCUCUGUGGACUGAUAUUUCUGUGUGGCAGUCACGGGAGCUGAGCGGCAGUCUUGUGGCUACUCUCGCGCAGCUUAGUGGGAACAUUGGAAAUAAAUACUUUCAUCAGCUGUCUGGGUGGCUGGUCUCAGACGAUCCUGCAGGUGAAGAAGCAGGAUGUGGAGGUCCUGGAAUGGCUUGGUUACAUGUGGUCUGCAGUUGUGAGGCCAGUUGGACAUACUGCCAAAUUCUCUAAAACGACGUUGAAGGCAGCUUGUGGUAGAGAAAUUAAAUUAUCUGGAAACAGCUCUGGUGGACAUUCCUGCAGUCAGCAUGACAAUAGCAUGCUCCCCCAAAACUUGAGACAUCUGUGGCAUUGUGUUGUGUGACAAAAUUGCACAUUUUGGAGUGGCCUUUCAUUGUCCCCAGCACAAGGUGCACCUGUGUAUUGAUCAUGCUGUUUAAUCAGCUUCUUGAUAUGCCACACCUGUCAGGUGGAUGGAUUAUCUUGGCAAAGGAGAAAUGCUCACUAACAGGGAUGUAAACAGUUUUGUUCAACAUUUCAGAGAAGUAACUUUUGUGCUUAUUGGAACAUUUCUGGGAUCUUUUAUUUCAGUUCAUGAAACAUGGGACCAACACUAUAUAUGUUGCAUUUAUUUUGAUUUUAUUUAACCUUUAUUUAACUAGGCAAGUCAGUUAAGAACAAAUUCUUAUUUACAAUGACGGCCUACCCUGGCCAAACCCGGACGACGCUGGGCCGAUUGUGCACCGCCCCCUAUGGGACUCCCAAUCACGGCCGGAUAUGAUACAGCCUGGAUAUAGUUUGUUCAGUAUAUAUUAUUAUUAUUUAAUUUGUUUAUUUAUUCUGAUUCAUCAGGAGGUGCUGCAGCACCCAUCAGCACCCCUACUUCCUGUGGCUAUGUCUGUGAUCAUAACCUAGAACCCUUGCUGAGUUGCUAAAGACCAUUAGCCUGCAUUCACUCAUUCACAAAAGAUGUUUCAUUGUAUUUGAAUAUAGUCUGUAUGUCACGCCCUGACCAUAGAGAGCCCUCGGGCUUCUCUAUGGUGUAAUAGGUCAGAGCGUGACUAAGGGGUUUUUCUAGUUAUUAUACUUCUAUGUUGGUGUGUGAGUGGUUCCCAAUUGGAGGCAGCUGAAUAUCGUUGCCUCUAAUUGGGGAUCAUACUUAGUGUGUCCCUUUUCCCACCUGCGUUGUGGGAUAUUGUUUUUGUGUGAGUGCCUUUGUGCGCUACGUUUUGCACGAUCGUUAAUUGUUGUUUUGAAGUUUCACUGUAAUAAAUGUGUGGAACUCUACUCACGCUGCGCCUUGGUCCGAUUAUUUAAGCGACGAUCAUGACACUAAUGUUUGUUCCUGAAUCUCCCAUUCUACUACUGAGUUAUUUUUCAUCCUUUUUCUACCACAGUUUAUGUUCUUACUGGAACACUG
ensembl:lncRNA